GAUGAAGAACGCAGCGAAAUGCGAUAAGUAAUGUGAAUUGCAGAAUUCAGUGAAUCAUCGAAUCUUUGAACGCACAUUGCGCCCGCCAGUAUUCUGGCGGGCAUGCCGGUCUGAGCGUCAUUUCAACCCUCAUGCCCCUAGGGCGUGGUGUUGGGGAUCGGCCAAAGCCCGCGAGGGACGGCCGGCCCCUAAAUCUAGUGGCGGACCCGUCGUGGCCUCCUCUGCGAAGUAGUGAUAUUCCGCAUCGGAGAGCGAUGAGCCCCUGCCGUUAAACCCCCAACUUUCCAAGGUUGACCUCAGAUCAGGUAGGAAUACCCGCUGAACUUAAGCAUAUCAAUAAGCGGAGGA
rnacentral:misc_RNA from 1 species